ACCAUCGAUGCCCACUUCGUCGCGUCCAAUCGGCAGCUCAACAAGGGAUGGAUAUUCAAGGAGGAGAAGUACAUCCGGCGGAUUGAAUGCUCCGUGCUUCGGGGGACCGACCUGCUAGUGCUUAGGAGCAUAUGCCUUUGCUCCAUGAGGUCCGGGCACUACAAACAAGUCGUGGUUGUCAAGGUGGAUGUCUCAGCUGCUGUUGUACAGGCGCACUGCGACUGUGUUGCUGGGUUGAGCCAAAGAUGUCAGCAUGUAGCCGGCCUCCUUUUUGCAGUCCGGAGUAUCCAAUCUCCGUCGUGCACCGAUAUGCCAUGCAGAUGGAUAGCACCGACACAAGGACAGAACAAUCUACCAAUGCAGCCACUGCAGGACAUCACAUUUAAAAAGCACGUCGUCAACAAGGUGGUACCAGCAAAACCAAAGCGCCAGCUGCCAGCCACCAUC